GAUUAAAAAAAAAAAAAAAGACCCAGAUCUGAGGAAAGGGGGCUCCUGGAAUCCACAGAGCUGCCAGGGCCUUGCACACCAUGCUUUCCCCUCCUCUUCCCCUGGCACACUCGUACUCACACUCAACCUUCACACUCAGCUGAGGCGUCUCCUCCUUCUAGCAGGGCUGGCUUCAUAGGGUGAGAGCUGUGGGGUCACACAGAGCCCUGUGCUAAAAAGGGCCCCAUGCUUGGUUUAAUGCUCUGCUAUUGCCAUCUUGAAACCUAAAAUCUGAGCAAGGGGCCUUUUUCAUUUUCCACUGAAAGUGGAUUUUUCAUUUUCCACUGGGCCAUACAAAUAAUGUAGCAGGUACUGCCUCCAUAACAUCUUUCUAAUGUUAGCCCUUAACCUAAGCUGAAUCUGGUGCCUCACUGGGGCUCAUAGAUCCCCUGCACUCACUCCCCUCCCUACCAGCCCUGACCACACUAAACUGUGAGACUUUACUCAUUUAUCUCCCCUCUAGAGUCUGGGCCCAUUGAAGGCUGGGGCAGAGUCCACUUGUACCUGCACAGAACUUAGCACAUAGCAGGUACUCACUAAAUGUGUGUUGAAAUGAACAGUCCAGAUGGGGGAAGGCCUGGCCCAGCUUCCUACAUGAUCCUGCCAGAGCUGGACUCCAAACCAUUUCUCUUGCUUUAGGGCCAAAACAAUCUUCCCUGUCCUCUCACUCUCCUGACCAGUGGCUGAAAGCCAAAACCAACCCAGACCAAAGCCAAAUAUAAGUUGUUUUUCUGACCUAGGACCCAAAUUAAUACAUUUUGUUUUCCCCAAAGGUACUCUGCCAUUUUCUAGAACAGUUCAAGCCAACUAACCCAGAAAUUCUAACACCCAAGGAGGACUGGGGGCCCUGCUGGGUCACAAGGGGCUCAAACUGGGUCUAGAGGCAAGAACUGGUGAGCUGUGGGCAGUCCACACUCAUGUGUGUGUGGUUGGGGGUGGAGUGGGAAUGCUGAGGCUGGAUUUUACAGGGGCCAGAAAAGGAACAGUAUGACUUACACCAGUUCUGCCAAAUCUACUAUGUGACCCCUUACAGCCUUUCAUUCAUUCAUUCAUCUAUUCAAGCAGAAAAUGCGAUGGUGAGGAAGACAGAUAAGGUUCCAGUCUUUAUGAUGUUUAUGUUCUAAUUCUCUUUGGAAUCAGAGUCCAUCAGUAAUACGGGAGGGAGGGGUGCGGGGGUACAAGCCAAAGGUGCCCACCUGGCUCCCUGUGCCAAGAAGACUCCACAGAAGCACCCUCUGGGAUUUUGCUGUUGGUAAUGGCAGCCCCCUCCUUGUCUCUGGGACCCAGGUCCAAGACUAGAAGCUGGUUAAGGCCAGUGGUUGAUGUACGUACGCAGCAGGCAACACUGUGCUGUGUUCUGAACUGCCAUCUCCGAACCUCCCCAAGGCUCCUCACUUCUCUUCUCCCUCAGCUGAGCUGUCCCCCGGCAGGCUCUGGACCCCAUCUGACCAGUUGCUACUGGAGACCGGACCCAUAGCCACCAGGAGGUGUGUGAGGCCCAGUAGGCCACCACUCCCAACAAAUACUUCUACAGCACCCUCUGGGCUGUGUCCAGCACCAGAAGGAAAAGGCGCCGGCCCGCCUGCUAGAAGUCUGGGCUCCACUGUGGGCAUCCGGGAAGAGCCGUCAAAGGAACGAAUGGCCAGGCCUGCGCAGACUCUAACUUCUGGGCAAUCUGGAGUGUGGGCACAGAUACCAGUGCUUCGCUGUUCAGAAAGGGGAGCAUUCAGGAAUCUGGGGAGCGGCAAAAAUAAAACGUUUCAAUUCUCUAAAUUCGAAAAUGGAAAAAAAACGUUUUGAGACCCAGUCCCAAGCCAGGAACAAGUCCUACAGACCGAUUUUCAGCCGGGCCCAAUCAAUCACUGACAACGUUACUUCAGUGUCCUGAGAGCCCACCAAUCAGCAAAGGUCUUACUCCAGCGGCGCUUCCGAAAGCUAGCCAAUCCCUAAACGCCAAGGCUGAUAGCAAAUCUGCAGACAGUCUGGCUGCUGAAAAUCAGCCAAUUGCUGAAGGCCGUGCUUUCCAUCCCUGUGUAAGAUCAGCCGUGGGUUGCUUGGAGUCUGUGGUUUUUGACGGAGAAACUGAGGCUCAGGUAUGCUCUGGGAUUUGCUCAAGAUCACUAAGGAGUAUGCAGGACCUAGUUUAGACUCAAGCAGUCUACGGUUUGAAUUUCUGUGAGGAAAGCAAUUAAAGAACAUGCUAGAGGAUACCCAGCAUUCUGUAAUCAGGUCAGGACAUGGCGUUGGGAGCCCCCCGCUUGCUUGACUCCUGGAACUGCUGCUUCCUGGCUGUGCCAUCCUGAGCAAGGUACUCCAGCUCGGUUGUCCUGUCUAAAAUACGCCUGAUAACCAUAGCUCAGGAGAUUGUUGUCCACUAAAGUCAUUAUGAACUGUAAGGCACCAGACUGAUGUUAUCCUCAUAAGAAGGGCCAAUGGCCUCAGGCACUGUGAGCCGAGGUGCAGGCUGCAGGCUUGGGGGUGGCUAGAGGGGCAGUGAAUGCCCCUGGCAGACCUAUACUGGGGGAAGGGUAUUAUCUUGGUUGUCCCAGGCCACGCAGUGCCCAGCAAGCAUGUGUGCCCUGCACCACGGCCCUGAGGCUCACCUCCUCCAGGAAGCACUGAACAUUGCUGUACCUGGGCUGUGCUGGUUCUUCAUGUCCAGAAUCUCACUCAGUUGGCCUGAUUAUCCCAUGAGGUGAGUGACAGUUACCCUAAUUUUUAUACCUGUGUAAACUGAACUUCAGAGAGAGAAGUGAUGUGCCUGUGGCAGCACAGCUAAGAAGUGGCAGAGAUAGGGUUUGCACUCAGGAGAGCUGGGCACCAAUCUCAGCUCCCAGCCCUCCAGCAGAGAGGAUGGGUCCCCUCAGCUGUACCCCAGCCCGCCCCAGCCUCAAGAGUACAUGCUCAGGUGCAGGGAGGGCCCUCCUGCCCUGCAGGGCCUGUCUCAACUUGUCCUGGGGUGGGGAGCCCAGCUCCCUGGUGGAAGCACAUCAGGUCACAGUGACAGUCCUGGCUCCCAGGGACUGGCUUCCAGCCACAGCUUUUGUGGGGAGGCACUCUAUACCCUGAACCUGGAGGGCAGGGCCAGCCAGUCAAGGAGCCCCUCAAAGUCCAUCAGGGUGCUGGGGACCAGAGGGGUGGCAGGAGUAGGUGAGAGGUGGCAGGCCCUGCCUGAGAAAUAAAGAGAUCUGUUCUUGGGUACAGAUGGAGGCCGUGGGUGACAGGCCCCGGGAGCCUGGGCAAGCCUCUCAUGUCCAAACCGAGGUCCACCUGUCCGCUGCCUCCCUCGGCCCACAGCCCAGCUGAGCAGCGGGCACUCCCUCCUCAGCCGCCCCAAACUGCCUUCCCAGCCCUUUGUCUUCACGGGCUGCGUGCUGCACCUCUGGAUACAAACAGAGACCAGGGUCACAGGUGAGGUCAGGAUGACCUCAGGCUGACACUUCUGCCCUUCACCUGGCUGUGGUUGGCAUCUCAGCACACAGUGCUGAGGGUGUGGGUCGCAGGAAGCCCUGUGGACUUCUGGAGAGUUCCACUCAGAAGAUAACGUAGGUAAGGAGGACCAUACGGGGGACAGUGGGUGCCCCUUGAUUGCCCACUGGAGACAAGAAUCCCGGCGAGUUUCUGAGUCCCUUCUCCUGAUGGAACAAGCCCGCCUUGAGGCCUUUUGUCCACAGGGUUGUCCUGGCAUGUUUCCUGGUUGUCACCUCAGAAUUGCAAUAGGAUGGGCCAGAACUGGGGAGCUAGGAUUAGAAUGUGCUGGGAUUGGGAUGGAGAUGGCUGGGCUGGGCACAGCUGGGGGUGGGGACAAGAGGCUUGAAAGCUGAAGAGUUUUAUUGGAAGGAACUGUCUGCCCUCCCGGCUCCAGCACUGAGCCUUUGGAGGAAGGGCAGACUGGGGAGGGAUUUUUGGCUUUCUGGCCUCCCCACUCUGACUUGCAGAACCGCUUUCCAGAGAGGGGCAAGCAGACUUCAACCCGCCCCUUUUCAGAGUCCUGCCUGCCUCCCAGGAGCUGGCCUGAGGACUGAGAGGAACACAGGCUCACUGAGUGCUCACUGUCUGCCAGGCCAGAUCCAGGCACAGUAGAACUUUGACCUCUCCGCAAACCUGGGGGCACAAUCAUCAUCCCACAGUCAAGGACCCUGGCGCUCAGAGGGGCUAAGAGGCUUGCUUGAGGUGCCACAGCCAGGAAUGGCAAGUUGGAAUUUGGGCCUGAGUUAGGUGGCCGGUUCCCCUUUUCUCCAGAGCAUCCCUAAGACGCAAUGCUAGUGCAAGGAAGGAGAUGGUCAUGGGCAGUUCGCAGCCAGGACAGUGAGGCCGCAGUCUCCCAGCAGUGGGACUUUUCCAGAUGGAGCUAGAGACCCAUUUGGAAGUCAAGCUCUGCCCUGGCCAAGGCUUCUCCCCAGCUGCAGGGAGUAUUUACCUGUCUCCUGCUGCCCAGGCUCUAAUCACGUGACUGGCCACAGCUCAAGGCCAGCCCCAUGUGGCCUCUCAGUCUAUAGGCCUGCUGGUCCCCAGCACCUCCUACCCCAGGCCUUAAUGUGCGGAUCACACUCAUUCCCCAGGCACUGGCAGUGCCCCGUGGGCUCCCCACCGCCAGUGAGGCCUCUCUCCUUGGCUGGCGCUGCCCUGUGUCUGCAGGAGGGGACAAGAAGAGGCUUCCCUCAGAUGCUCACCUCCUGCCCUGUGGCUGGAUGCCACCGCUGCUGGCUUCCUACGCCAGGCACGACUGGUCACCACACACCCAGCCUUUGUUAUCCUCUACGGAACCUCUGUUGCUUCUGUGUCAAGGAAGCUGGGGAAGCUGAGCGCCCCUGUGCUGUGCUGCCCACUUCCCCCUAGGCAGCACCUCACUUCUCCUUUUGCCCUUGCAGGAGGCCUCAGCCUCAGCCCUGGCAGCCUUUACAGCCAGGGCCCGUAACCCGG